rnacentral:lncRNA from 1 species
GGGGAGGCUGUAGUCCCGCACUAUCACGGGAGGAAGUGCUCUUACUUUCUUCUGAAAUCUGGUAAGCUAGACGUCGGUCGGUCUGCUUGAUCGAUCUUGGUUGUGUGCGCUGUAUCUAUCCAUUGCAUCCACCUUGUUUGAAUUCUACUCAUGCUUGUGCAUCUCUGACUCUCUAUUUCUGUUUCUUUUUCAAUUUUCAGGUGUGGGUGGGGCUUGAUGCUUGGCCAUGUCUCCGUUUCCACCUACAACUGUAGGGUACGUGAGGGCGAUCGAUCGAUCUCCUUUUCUUCGAUCGCCGGAGCUUCAGACUCGAUGGAACGGUCAAGCCGCUUGAUCGACUGCUAAGGCAGGAGCAGCAGCAUUAUUCUUUUUCCGAUUAGUAAAGCUCGGCCACUGAGGCCAGGUGCUGGUGGGAUUGGGCUUGGACAUGUCUCGUUUUGCAUAGGAUGUUUGUAUUCUUCUCAUUGUUGCGUUUUUCUGAAUUUUUGCUCUGUCCAUUCAUGUGUUCCCACUGAAUCUGUAUAUUCCUCUGAACUCAGUGAUAUAUCAAGUGUGAAAUUUAUUCUUACUAGUUCCUGGCCUUCAUGUUUGCCAUUUAUAUGCAUGGUGUCUGCAGGAAAGGAUCUGAUGUUUGUGUUGGGCCGUCAAAAGAGAUUGGAGCUAUAGAAUUGGCCCUUAGGAAUUGUUCAGGCAGAUCAACAAAUACAUAUUUUUUUGGACGACCAUAUCUACCCGAUUUGACUCGCUUGAGGAGGCAUACGAGUUCUAUAACCUGUACUCAUGGGAAUUGCUUUCGGGCAUUUUUGGUACAUGACCAGUUAAAUGAACGUCGAUCAGUACUGGUCAUCUCAGGAUCUAGGGUGCCAGAUGGAGGUAUGGAUCGACAUGAAUUUUACUUUUGUUGUUCUGAAUUCUCGAUUGGUUUGCUGCACACGCAUGAUACCAUAUCAUUUUUUUCUUCAGGGUGUUGACUCAAGGUGCUAGAAUGACUCUG